CCUUUCUCCUCAUCAUCAUCAUGUCAACCAACUCCCGAGAUUUUCCUGUCAUAGUCCCAGCAUUCAAAGUCCCCACAUUCAGUUCUUGACUCUUUGCUUUCCUCUUCUCUUUCUGCCGAAGAACCCGCUUUCCAACUCGUCUUCUUAUCCCUCUCCCUCUCUCAGCAAGCUCUCGAACACCGGCUUCGCUUGUGACUCGUGGUGAACAUGCGUGCAGAGAGCUCAGCUACCGAACAUCCUUCCGCGUCCCCUUACAUCCAGCUCGGCUCUCGCCAGCCGGCGUGAAUUUUCUGCAUUUGCGAAAAAUGUGAUAAACGUGUCAACACUGAAAAAGUAGAUGCCGUGUUUAGUCAGCAUUUGUCCUUGUAGCACCGUUAAACACCGAAAACAUGAAGAGAACCCAGACUCCAAAUCAUGACUAUUAAUCCAAUCAACAGCAGGGUGCUCGAGUACCGUUCAAAGUUUGGCAUUCUAAUCCUUGUAAAGGUCGAUUUGUAGUUCCGGCUCAUUGAAAAGGUGUAUAUGUGCUGUAAUGAUACCCCCGAUUAACAUGCAACAUGAUUGAGGCAAUGCCCUUUUCAGCAGCACACUGGACAACUGAAUGAGAAGCUAACAGCCGGAGGAAAUAUUGGCAUGAUAUAUUGAUGUAUUAAAAAGAUUUCCUCGGCAGGUGCCUGUAUUACACUAAAUAGUGCUUGUGCCGCAGCAUUUUCAUCUAGGGAUUCGACAACGCAUGUUAAGUUCGGGGGUGGCAUUUUGCAGCCGCUGUCUUCCCGCUCCUCAGUCGAACACUUCCACGUCCACGAAUCGGCGAGCUUUUGGUAGUUCUCCCACCUGAAAUCCUUGGUCCUGCCUGCUGAGCCACUGAAAGGAGCCAUCUGUAGAAGAUUCUUCCAUCCACGCUUUCAUGGGCAACUGCAGGCGGAGGCAAAAAUACCCAUUUGUACAUGUACUACUGUGCAGGUGAGUUGUGAUACAGCUGUUGCAAGUUUUAUUAAAGUAAACAGCAAAUCACAAAUCACAGUAAUGACAAAUGUCCCUUUGGGUAAAUUGGAAGCCAUUUGGGAACGUGCUGCGUUAUGCUCCAUUAAAUGCUGAGGGAGGAAUGAAAAUACAAAAGGCAUUGAAUAAAACAUGGAUUGCACCAUAUUAUGUUCACGAAAUACAGAAAUGUAAUUCAUGAUUCCUUUCAGGGGGUCUAUUGUUGGGAGUACAUCAAUAUGAAGUCAUUGACGCGAUGGUGGUCAUUGACGUGACCCUAGAAGGUUCAUGCAGAGUUUGGGACCUGAGAAUCUUGAGGAUGAAGGCAUGUCUGUAUUGAUGUGCUGGAGAAACUGCAAAAGGCCAGCAGAGCGUCAGCAGAGCUGCCUUGGUUUGGGUCGAUGUAAUAUGUUCCUAAAGAGAACAGAUAGGAGUUCACAUUUCAGUUCUUCAAAAUCUCGAAAGCAGUUAUUAGUAUAUUUUGUGUCCCAAUUACAUUCAGAAUGUGAUAAAAGUCUCCGCACCACUGUUCAAAUAUUGUUUUUUACAUAUAUAUAUCAAAAAAUGACCGGGCUAAAUCAUUUCAAAACGUAUUCCACCAUUAAUGUGACCUACUGUAUU